rnacentral:rRNA from 1 species
GACAGAGGGUGCAAACGUUGUUCGGAAUUACUGGGCGUAAAGCGUGUGUAGGUGGCUGCGAAAGUCGGAUGUGAAAGCCCUGGGCUCAACUCAGGAAGUGCACCCGAUACUGCGUAGCUCGAGUACCGGAGAGGUUGGUAGAAUUCUCGGUGUAGAGGUGAAAUGCGUAGAUAUCUGGAGGAACACCGGUGGCGAAGGCGGCAUCCUGGACCGGCAUUGACGCUGAGGCACGAAAGCCAGGGGAGCAAACGGG